rnacentral:lncRNA from 1 species
AAUCUCAAGGAAGCUCUUUGGGAGCCAGGAUUCCCAGCACUUAGCUGGUGGGCAAAGGGGUUCAACCCCUUCCCCACACCCCACCUUCCCUCCUCCCAGUCUUCGGGAUUGCGGAGCUCCUGCCGGGAUCCAAGAGCAGGCUCUUGGAGGUCGAAGAAGGAUAUAACCUCCAGACCUGGAAUUUAAGACGCAAGAACCAGCCAGCAAAAGUGGCAGCCGAGCAUGCGAGGGACUGCUGAUGGCUUUUUAUUAGGAAGCUAUGCAACUUGAGGUUCUACUGAAAAGGAGAAGAGGCCACUGGAGAUGGGAAGCCACGAAAACAUGAAGAUGUAGAAGUCUCAGCUCCUUCAAUGCUAUGUCUGCCAAGAUGCUGCCACACUCCCUUCUUGAUGAUAAUGGACUGAACCUCUGAACCUCAUUCUGUUGCCUACUUUCUACCUUGACGUCAUUUGGAGUAACAGCAGCCCAUGUUGUGAUAAUGGAGACAAUGAGUGCAUGGGAAAUUAUCAACUAACAAACACAGUACACAGAAAGGAGCUCUGGAGACCAGGGAGCACCCAAGCCAAUCCUGGAAACCGGAUUGGGCAGUUUCUGUAUCUGAGACCAAGACAGGAAAAAUGAAAUGUACUUGACAUGCAUUAGCAAAGAAGUGGGCAUUCUGGUGACAAAGCAUUGGUCCUCUGCAAACGGUUCCAGGUGGAGUGGGCAGAAGACAGCAGCCCCAGGGCUUGAGCCUCCCUUCACAGUGGGUACCUGGCACAGGCAGACAACAAGCAGUGAGUGGGCCAGCAGAAUGGAACGGCUUGGUCAGCACAGGCGCUUUCAUCAGAUGAAGUGGGGUCACCUUUUACACUCCUGUUAACUCCUUGGGUGGAAUUACCCAACGGAAUGAAAAUUGGAUGGAGUUAUGGCGGGACACUCUUACUGGACACUGAAACCAUCCUGCAGCAAAUUGCUUCUGUGAAAUCUUUCUGCUGUUUGGGAGGUAUCCUUCUAUAGCACAGAAACGGAAACUUCAGCCAGAAGAGAGGAAUUCAGUGACUCCAUGCCAACAGAAACAGAGCUCUGCAUUUGUUUCCUGAGCCUACUUGCACUUGGAAGGUUUCUUUCCUCACAAGAAACAUGUGUUACAGGAUAUAAAAGUGGCUUUCCGUUUGGGGUUAGAACCCGAAACAGAAAGACAACAGAGAAAAAUUUCAGCUCAGCCUUUCUAGAUUGGAAAUGAUGCAUGAAUGUUGUUGUUUCUCCAAGACUUCAGCACAGGUAUAACAUGGUGCUAAUUUAAUCACCCGGUGAAUCACCUUUUCUCUGUGAGAUGUUAACACUGAUGUAAGAUGUUUCCAUGUGAGGAACGGGAAAGACUUGAGACACAAAAAAGCUUCAAGGAUUGGUAAAUAGAAUAAUGUGGUCUGUACCCCACUAAUUUUUCUUGCCAUCCAUGAGAGGCCCGAUGGGCUGCAGCAAUGCAUCAUUUAGAUCGCCCCUUCAGCUGGUUCAUGGAAAACUAACAAAAAUUGAUGUUGUUAUCUGGGGUUUUCGUGUGUGAUUUGUCUAACUCUUUACAUUCAUUAUGGGUUUUGCCCUUCUUUAAUAAAAUGGCCUGAUAUUGCCUUCA